AGUAAGCUGAUUUAUAACUUUAUCACUGCAACUUUGAAAGACGUUAUCAUUUCAACAAACCAAGUACGAGUAUCAUUUCUUGAUUUAUUUCUUCCCUUUUCUUUCUACCUUCAUAAAUGGAUGUCUUAGUAUCAUCUUCAUAUAUAAUCACCCUUGUAUUAAUGACCAACUUACCCACAUCUUUUAGCCGGCUAAGCAAAGAGUUCAAAACUUGCAGUAAGCCAUUUAACUGUGGAAACAUAACAAAUUUAAGCUAUCCUUUUUAUGGUUUAGAUAGACCACAAUAUUGUGGACACCCUAAGUUUGAGCUUUUUGGUUGCAAUCAAAACUCCCAGCCAUUUACCAUGACAAUAUUGUCGCAAACUUUUAUGGUUUUGGCCAUCAACUCGACGUCUUCCACCAUAAAUGUUGCUAGGGAAGAUUUUCGAACCAGGUCCGGGUGCCCUGCCUCCCUAGUAAACAUCACAAUUGAUUUCUCCAUAUUUCAAUAUACACCUCUUGAUACAAACCUCACCUUGUUUUACGGUAAUUGUUCCACAUUGUGUAAUCUUACUACGUUCAAAGUAUUCCCUUCUUGUCCUAUGAGUCCUUCAGAGACUUUACCAAUUUGUCUCUUGACUAGAAAGGCCAUGUUGAAAAGUAAUAUCUCAGUAGCUUCAUGUCCAAACCAUCUUUUCCUACCAACUCACUUGUCGGACAAUUUGAUCAUGGAUAAGGUGGGAGAUUACAUACCUCAAGCUGCUUGGAAUGGUACGGAGCUCAAAUGGAGCGCGAAUAAUGGUUUGUGUGAAGCGUGUCUUAGAUCAGGAGGGCAGUGUGGACAUGAGCCACAUUCACAUAAGUUCUUCUGCUUCUGCACUGAUGAAUGCAAGUGCCCUUUCCCAGGAGACCCUCUACACAAGGUCACUCUAACAAAGGCAAAGAUUGUGCUACUAGGUGAUUUACCUCUCUAUAUGAUUAACUCCCCUUGUUCCAUAUUACAACAUUUAUUUUGACAUAUCUUCAUGACAUAUUUUGAGCUUACAAAUUAAAUUACAUACUAGCUCCGAUCCUUGUGUGUUUGUUCCGUGAUCUGAUCAUCUGAGCAAGUCACUGAAAUUUAUUCCAUAUAACAUCUAUCAUCUAUCUCAAUCUCACAUCUAUAUAAUAAUCGUAUCUAGAGUUUGAAAAUGACUUUUAAAUAACUUCCACUUUUUCAAAUUAGGGGAAAAAACUUUUCCAUAACUAUUUAGUUUGUUUUGGUAAACAUACCUAUUACGUAUAUCCUACGCAUUAGCACGGGUAUACCUCAGAAGUUUUGGCGGUGUUUCCUACAAGUCGGAUGUUUAUAGCUAUGGAAUGUUGGUUCUUGAAAUGGUUGGGUGUAGAAGAAAAGCCGAGAAUGAAAUUGAUGAACAUAGUAGUGAACAAUAUUUCCCUCAAUGGAUAUACGAACAACUCGAAGCAGGGGAAGCAGUUGAUGAGCAACAGAUGUUGAGUUCUGAUGAGAUGGAGAUCCAGAAGAAGUUGAUUUUAGUGAGUUUAUGGUGUGUGAAAACCAACCCAUCGAGUCGGCCAGAGAUGAGUAAAGUGGUGGAAAUGUUAGAAGGGACCGUUGAUUCACUACAAGUUCCUCGCAUCUCUUCGCUUGCUCCCUCUUCCUCCACGCUCAGUGGCUCUUUAAGGUUACAGUCACAAACCUCAACAGAUUUAUAAAAUCUGACACCUGCAAUAUAGUUAAAGCACACACAAAAAUAAAAUAAAAUAAAAUAAAAAGGGUACUCUUACCAUACUCGUGUAAUUAGACGAACUUUGGUCAAUGCUUUUAGCUUAACAGCAUUUCGCUCAAAUUGAAAUUAUUUGUAACAAUUUAACAUAAAGUACGAGUAGAAAAUACUUCGUACCAAACCGUUACAAAUAAUUUGAAAUGGAGGUAAGUACUUUGUUAGUUUGUUUCUUAUUACCGAUCCGUGUGACUUUAUAUUAAGUUAAAGAAUCUAGUAUACAAGUUUAGAACCUUAAUGACAGCACUUGAGGCCUAUACCAAUUUCUUAAUAAAAAAAAAAAAAAAUUGUUGUACUCUAGAAGGGUCCAACCCGAACUUGAACAACUCGAAUUCGACCCAAGUUUCAUAUUUUGUAAUAAUAUUAAGUUUGACACUAUUUUUGAUAGUUUCUAAGUAUAAUUCGAAAUCGACCUGAAAUCUGACCUGAACUCGACCUGCUCACUCGAAUUGUUACCCCUCUAGAGGUAACAAUUUGGGGCUCUGGGGUGGGAAUUUCUUACCCCCACUUUUAAAUUGUCUUGCCUGCUAGCCCGGAUUGGGUUAGACAUGUAAGAGAUUCUGAUCUGAUAAAACUCUUCUCCUUAUCAUUAUUAAUAAUAAAAAAAAUAAAAGAAAAUAAAAAUAAAAAUAAAAAAAUAAAAAUAAAACCUACGUAGUACGGAAUACUCCUUAAAAAAAAUACGAUGCUAUCCUAUCGUUGUCAUCUGAAAAUUUGAACUACCCAACUCGUAAAACUUUUCCCGCCAUAUCUCUGAUACCAAUUCCAGUACAGUUACUCCUCCUCUUCAAAAAUCAAAACUCCAAAUAUUCUCAUAAUGUCCCAUUCUACUGCUGCAAUGUUAUCAAAUGAUUUGCUUUGUUCCUUCUUCCGCUGCUUCGAUGUUGAUGAGUUGGCGUUCGGUUUCCUCGCUUGUUUCGCUUGCACACUCGGUUAGUUUACGCUUUUAUGCCCUCUCUCUAUUUUCUUAUUCCUUCUAAAGUAUUGAACCUUUCGAUCUUUGGUUAUAUGGAAUUCAAGUAUUUUGUUUAUCUAAGUGUUUAAUUGAUGACGUACAACUAUUGAAAUCAAAGUAGCAGUUGUUUUGUAUUUCUGAUAAAUUGAUCUCAAAGUCUCUCUCUUCUCAUUCAUCAUUCAUCCAAUAUUUAUACACAUAUCUUAGAAACCUAAUCAACGUAGGAAUCUAAUUCAUAUCUAUCUUAUCUUAGUAAAUAUUAUCCUACCUAAAGAUAUCAUAAUAUAAACACAAAUAUAUCAAAUAUAUUCCCUAAGAUAUUCUUCCUUAUCUUAACAUCCCCCUCAAGUUGGAGCAUGGAGGUCACGAAUGCCCAACUUGGAAAGUAGAGUCUCGAACUGAGCCUUCCCCAAGGCUUUGGUAAAAAUGUCUGCUAGCUGCUCCUUCGUAGGUACAUACGAAGGUGAAAUCAGUCCCUCCUGAAUUGCAUCUCUUACAAAAUGCAAAUCAAUUUCAAU